GACGAACGCUGGCGGCGUGCCUAAUACAUGCAAGUUGAGCGAUGAAGCUUGGUGCUUGCACCAAUUUGAAGAGCAGCGAACGGGUGAGUAACGCGUGGGGAAUCUGCCUUUGAGCGGGGGACAACAUUUGGAAACGAAUGCUAAUACCGCAUAACAACUUUAAACAUAAGUUUUAAGUUUGAAAGAUGCAAUUGCAUCACUCAAAGAUGAUCCCGCGUUGUAUUAGCUAGUUGGUGAGGUAAAGGCUCACCAAGGUGAUGAUACAUAGCCGACCUGAGAGGGUGAUCGGCCACAUUGGGACUGAGACACGGCCCAAACGCCUACGGGAGGCAGCAGUAGGGAAUCUUCGGCAAGGGACGAAAGUCUGACCGAGCAACGCCGCGUGAGUGAAGAAGGUUUUCGGAUCGUAAAACUCGGUUGGUAGAGAAGAACGUUGGUGAGAGUGGAAAGCUCAUCAAGUGACGGUAACUACCCAGAAAGGGACGGCUAACUACGUG
rnacentral:rRNA from 1 species